rnacentral:rRNA from 1 species
GUGCCAGCCGCCGCGGUAAUACAGAGGCCUCAAGCGUUGUUCGGAAUCACUGGGCGUAAAGGGUGCGUAGGCGGCGCGGAAAGUCAGGGGUGAAAUCCCGGAGCUCAACUCCGGAACUGCCUUUGAUACUCCCGCGCUUGAGAACUGGAGGGGACAUCGGAAUUCACGGUGGAGCAGUGAAAUGCGUGGAUAUCGUGAGGAACACUAGUGGCGAAGGCGGAUGUCUGGACAGUAUCUGACGCUGAGGCACGAAGGCCAGGGGAGCGAACGGGAUUAGAUACCCCCGUAGUCC